rnacentral:rRNA from 1 species
GAUGAACGCCGGCGGUGUGCCUAAUACAUGCAAGUCGAACGCGUUGGCCCGACUGAUUGAUGAUGCUUGCAUCAGAUUGACGACGGUUUACCAACGAGUGGCGGACGGGUGAGUAACACGUAGGCAACCUGCCCAGAAGCGGGGGACAACAUUUGGAAACAAGUGCUAAUACCGCAUAACAACGAAAACCGCCUGGUUUUCGUUUAAAAGAUGGUUUCGGCUAUCACUUCUGGAUGGGCCUGCGGCGCAUUAGCUAGUUGGUAAGGUAACGGCUUACCAAGGCAGUGAUGCGUAGCCGAGUUGAGAGACUGAUCGGCCACAAUGGAACUGAGACACGGUCCAUACUCCUACGGGAGGCAGCAGUAGGGAAUCUUCCACAAUGGGCGCAAGCCUGAUGGAGCAACACCGCGUGAGUGAAGAAGGGUUUCGGCUCGUAAAACUCUGUUGUUGAAGAAGAACGUGCGUGAGAGUAACUGUUCACGCAGUGACGGUAUUCAACCAGAAAGUCACGGCUAACUACGUGCCAGCCGCCGCCGUAAUAC